GUCGGGUUGAGAUGUUUCGGGCAAACAUCUACACAAUUCAUAAUUGUGUGGCAACGGAACAACCGGUAUGGAUCGUUCAAAUUGUCUAACCGCUC
rnacentral:tRNA from 1 species